rnacentral:ncRNA from 1 species
GGGGAUUGGUCUCUCGGCUGGGAUGUUUAGGCAUACCGGUCAAACCGCCUUAUGGGGCUUACCUUUCACGGGUUGGUCUUGAGCGAUAAGGUCAAAGGCGCUACUGCCACUUGUAGGG